rnacentral:rRNA from 1 species
GUGCCAGCAGCCGCGGUAAGACGAAGGGGGCUAGCGUUGUUCGGAAUUACUGGGCGUAAAGCGCGUGUAGGCGGUUGUUCAAGUCAGGUGUGAAAGCCUUGAGCUCAACUCAAGAAAUGCACUUGAUACUGGAUGACUAGAGGACCGGAGAGGAUAGUGGAAUUCCCAGUGUAGUGGUGAAAUACGUAGAGAUUGGGAAGAACACCAGUGGCGAAGGCGGCUAUCUGGACGGUUUCUGACGCUAAGACGCGAAAGCGUGGGGAGCAAACAGGAUUAGAUACCCCAGUAGUCC